rnacentral:lncRNA from 13 species
UUCGCCUGACAUUAACAGGUCCCGUGAGUUGCUACAGAGGAAAUCUUUCGGGGAAUGCAAAGGCACUACAGAACCCAUGGAACCUCUGUGUUUCUGUCUCAACAGUGGCAGCUGUCAGGACGGAGCCAGAGUGUGCCCAGAGGAGUAGAGGGAAGGCAGGAUCACCACAAAGGCAUUCAAAUCCAUGGGUCUAGAGAGGGUUCAUUCAAGACAGCUGAAAGACCUGGCUGAUGCCCCUGUGGGACUCCUGACACCUAUGGUGAUGAAGAGAGGCCACAGAGAACUGGAAAAAGAUCCAUAUUAUGCUCACCUUUAAGAAAGGUAGGAAGGAGAUCUGGGAGAACCAUAAGCCAGUCAGGCUUACCUCAGGUGCUAAAAGAAUUUUGGAACAUGUCCUCUUGGAGUCUAUUUCCAUGCAUAUGAGACACCAGAAGAUCAUCAGGAACAGCAUGGAUUUACAUGCAGGAUCAAUCUGACUGAGUAACUGUCUAUGU